AAACCCGUGUCCAUAUUGUGUGUGUGAAGAAGCAUCGAAGCGCGGCAGCCAUGUUCAGCGUGGCAUUUCGGAAGGCUUGUCAGGGGUGGAGAAGCGGGGCGGGUUGCUGUUCUUUCACCUGACACUAAAGCGCCAUGCCGGAAGCACUGAGUCUGAUACGUCGGAACCAGUCUCCACCGUGUGGUUUGGUCUUGAUUUCCACUGGUACUCUGGGGUCUUGGAUAAGUCUCUGGACCUCGCCUUUGUCAUUUGCGAAGUCGAUAGGUUCCAAUAGAGAUUUUCCCAGAAUCAUUCAACUAAAAAUAGAGAACUUUUUUUUUUUGAGAGGAAGGACGGGGGCGCAGUUAAAGAUGUUAAUGUUAAGUCAUCCCUUCUGUGAUUUCGGGACAUUAUCUUUGCACGCCAUGUGAAGAUGUGCUUGCUUCCUUGUCACCUUCCGCCAUGAUUGUAAGUUUCCUGAGGCCUCCCAGGAAGCAGAAGCCUGUACAGCCCACAGAACCAUGACCUGAUGAAAUCUCUUUUCUUUAUAAAUUACCCAGUCUCAGAACGCAUGCAUCUUGGGAAAACAAAAUGGCAAUAGCUGACAUUUAUCCAACACUGGCCAGCUACCAGGAGCCCUCUGAAAACCCUACAUGUGGUUACUGCUUAACUCUUGUAAUCCUUUGAGGUCUACACAAACUCCAGCUGUAUACAAAAGACUGCAUCUCCAGCUUGUUUUGUCUGAGAGGUCUAGGCAUGAUAUUUUAUUAAUUGUGGACUAUCUCUACUUGAAUAGCUUGGAAUAUACUCAAACUUAAAGUUGAAUUCUUCCUUCCCUCCAGAUGUGCUUCAUUAAUUAAUUCAUUCAUUCAUUCAUCAGCUUCCAUACACCUCCUGUUAUCGGGCUAAGGUUAGUGGAGCUGAUGCAAAGAUAGGUAUGCAUGGCAUAAUGGCAGGAGGACCUUAGAGGCUAGUGCAGCAGAAUAGAAACAGCAGUGCCUGAUGAUAAGUAUAUGCCAGCGUGAUUUCACUUCCUCUUCUUGCCUGCUCAAAUCCCAGGGAGACAGAGUUUAUGUGAUACUCAACAAUGUGAUGGGAAACUACCAAGCUCGUAACUUUCAGUAAUCCUUUACAUCCUCUCACAGCUACUAAAUCAUGAAGGAUGGCUUGAACUCAGGCCCAUCUGACUCCAAAAUUUAUAUCCUUAACCCUAUUAUUUUCUUUAAUAGGUAAAACAGAAGCCUCAAAGACAUAAAAUAAAUUUCCCAGGCCCCAGUGUCACACAGUUAAUAAGCAACAGAGUUUAGAGUGGAACUCAAAUUGAGUACCAAAUAAGAUUUUUGCUACCACACCUAGAUUUUUUCAACAAUACUCAUUACUGUAACCUGAGUCAUGAAUGGAAGGCUAAAUUAAAGUCCUUAUUUUCUAAGACAGAGAACAAAGAUAUGUGUGACCCAUUUAAAAAUUAUAAGAAUCAUGACUUGCCCUUAUUGAGUUUCACUCUAUGCCAGGCACUGUGCUAAGCUCUUUUCAAAUACUAUGGCUUCAAGUCUUGGAAUAAUGUUAUAAGUAUGUUGCCCAUGGCCACGUGAUCAAAAACGUGGAAUUAAAGACCAGGCCUUUCUAAAUUUGUUGCUAGUGUCUCACCACCUUGUUCUACUCUCUCCAUUUUAGAAAGAUCUGCCUACAAUUUUUGAAAUAAAACCAGUUUUCAUACACAUAAAGUAAAUAUUCAAACAUAUAGAAAUUUAAUUACUGUGUAGUAUCAAAUAUUUCCUUACUGAUAUUGACUUUAAAAUUACAUAAAAGUAGGAUGGGUGUACUGACCAUCUGUUUCGUCUGUUUGGCACAUUCUAUACCUGGAAGAAAAACAAAGACAAGGCAAUAUUAAACUCUGGAAGAACCUAAUCUUACUAGAAAAAGAAUCUUUGAUUUAUGCUUUAGCUUUCAGCCUGUCAUAAAAAUGUAAGUCUCUCUUCACAACUGUGUAUCAGCAUUGUAUCAAAGGUUGAAGCUCUUCACACGUAUCUUUAAAUUUUUUUUCUUUUUUGGAGUGGGAGUGGAAUCUAGUCAAAGAAAUGGAAAAGAUGCCACGAUGAAUGAGAAUUUUGUCUUAAUCUUUUUUACUUCAUAACCAGAGCUCAGUAGAGACAGAAGAAAUAAGUGAGUCAUAUUUAGGGAGAUGUGCUAUUGUGGACAGGUGUAGAUGACAGAUGUUGGAACAGUGGUUGAAAAUUCUAGGGAGGCCAAUUUUAACUCAAUAAUAGAAGAAUAGCCCAUGGUGCCAAACAAUUGAUUGUAAUGUUUUAUGAAUAAAUGAGUUCCCUGUAAAUGGUGACAUCAAGUCAAAGCAGAGUCUGGAUGAUCCUCUCCCUAAAAAAUUAUACAAAGUAUUCUCAUGAAUAAGCAUUUGACUUUAGAUGACUGUUAACAUCCACUCUACCCCUGAGGUGAUGUGAUUUAGCAAUUCGUUGGUUGAGGCAAAAGAUUCAUUUUAAAAAGUUUCCCUUAUUAUUUAUGUGAUGAAUUACAUAUAUCCCAGAAUUACAUAGGCAGAAGACUGCAUGAGCUAUUAGUACAAGGGCAGGGGCAGUAUUAUCAGAGAUACUCACUGAACAUGGUUGCAAGUGUCAGAGCCAAGAGUAGGACUAUGGCUGUUGCUCUCAUAGUACUGAAGUGGCCAAGGCAGUCAGAUGUAGGGAAAAGAAGUGACCUGGUGUCCGUCCAGCUCACUUUGAUCCUGCCUUAUAUAUUUUCAAGAAUUCCUGCCUCAAUUGUGAAAUAGCAAUUUCUAAGUAGUACAACUCCAGAAAGAGGUCAGAAAUGUCUGCGAGCCAUGGGGAUUCUUUUCUUGUGAAAGACAGGUAAUUGCACAUGCCAUUUUAAUAGCUAGUCCCCAAACCCAGGCUGAUGGAUGAAGAAUGAGAUGGUAGCUUUGCUUUGAACUACAAUUACGUACAUAAUCAGUGGCAUUUUUCAUUUCAUACAAUAACUUGCAAUAGACAAGCCAGCAAU
rnacentral:lncRNA from 10 species